AAAUGCGGAAGAGAUAAGUGCUGAAAGCAUCUAAGCACGAAACUUGCCCCGAGAUGAGUUCUCCCUGACCCUUUAAGGGUCCUGAAGGAACGUUGAAGACGACGACGUUGAUAGGCCGGGUGUGUAAGCGCAGCGAUGCGUUGAGCUAACCGGUACUAAUGAACCGUGAGGCUUAACCUUACAACGCCGAAGGUGUUUUG
rnacentral:rRNA from 1 species